CAGUCGCCGCGGUAAUACAGAGGGUGCGAGCGUUAAUCGGAUUUACUGGGCGUAAAGCGUGCGUAGGCGGCUAAUUGAGUCGGAUGUGAAAUCCCCGAGCUUAACUUAGGAAUUGCAUUCGAUACUGGGAAGCUAGAGUAUGGGAGAGGAUGGUAGAAUUCCAGGUGUAGCGGUGAAAUGCGUAGAGAUCUGGAGGAAUACCGAUGGCGAAGGCAGCCAUCUGGCCUAAUACUGACGCUGAGGUACGAAAGCAUGGGGAGCAAACAGGAUUAGAUACCCGGGUAGUCCCUGUCUCUUAUAC
rnacentral:rRNA from 1 species